CCUCGUCCCAACAAAACAAAAGACUCCCGCAGGUACCGAAUGACAGUAGGUAUAAGGGAGCAGAAGAGAUGUACCAAACGGACACAAAUACAAUACAAAACAAAACGUUGAACGACGGAAAGAAGAAAACAAUGUAACACAGAAAGAUUAUAACAAUAACUCUGAAAAAAAAGUGAAACAUACAGAAACAAAACUGCUACAGUACUAACGCCAAGGAAAACGUGACAAAACCAACGCAAAAGAAAAUAGAAGACGUGACACGAGGACGUAUCGUGGUCACAGAAAUAAAAAACAAUACGAACCACACGGGUCGAAGAUGUACCGUGAUAAAAAAUUACAGAAAAACAAAAGAAGAAAGACGUCGUGAUACAAGGACGUACCUAGAUCAAACUUAUAGGAAAACAAGCGAAAA
rnacentral:lncRNA from 1 species